ACCGCCGACCUUCUGAUCAGCAAGUCCUAAGUUCUGGGGUUUAACCCACAACGCUACCCGCGUCCCUACAGUACAUAUACAAGACAGUAAAACAUCCAAAAAUUAAAAACCUCCUGAUACAGCUGUCUUCUAAAUGUCAGAUAGUUGCCUCCUUCCUUGCCCUCUGAAGGGAGGGCAUUCCAUGGGGCAGGAAGCCCUCUGCCUGGUUCCCUGGAACUUCACUUCUAACUGCAAGGGAACCAGCAGAAGACUCUCGGAGGCGGACCUCCCUGUCCGGACUGAACGACUGGGGUAAAGAUGCUCCGUCAGGUCCACAGGGCCGAGGCUGAGGAGGGCUUGAGGUUGCAGAUCUUGCUCCUCCAUAAUGAUCGAUGUAUAGGUAGCAGAGUAGGAGAAAACACUCAGAGGCAGGGGGGGGGGAAAUCAGCUGAGAAAUUUAUUACUGAAGACAGAUAAGCAUGACAGGACCCAAAAAAUAGCAAAAAUGUAACUCACAGUAAAACCCUGACUUAGCAAACCAAAACAGCACUCAAGUAAGAAACAGACAAGCAGAGUAGAGUAAUAUCAGAAUAGGAAGUGGGAGCAGGCACAUUUCAAUACUGCAAUUCAUAUAUAAUUCAAUGUCAGGGUAACCCUGGGACUAGAUAACAAGCCUCCAGGUCGACGUGCCCCAUCUGCCCUUCACGUUCCUCUUCCGCACGGGCAGAAUCUGCCUUAUGGACUGUGGGAUUCACGGUUGUUCUCCUCCUCUCCAUCCACCAGGGCUUGACUUCAGGUGCAGCAGAAUUCCCCACCCAGCCCAUCAACGAUUUGAGACCCAUCAGCUUUCCUCACCUGGUUUAGCCGGCUGGUAGAAGCCGUUGCUUGAACCCCUGUUGCAUGCUGACAGCUUCUGGAAGCCACAGGAUUUGCUUUUUGCCCACUCUGAAAAGGUGAUGGAGAAGAAAGAAUUGCAGGGGAGAGGGCACCUAUCGUUUCAUUAGGAAUAGCAAUUAAAAUGUGUGAAAUGUGGAAUAUGCUUCACUGAAUGAGCACACAUAGUUCACAUCAACGAACA